CUUCAGAGUUUGAUCCUGGCUCAGGGUGAACGCUGGCGGCGUGGAUGAGGCAUGCAAGUGAAACGGUCGGUGAAGCUUCGGCUUUGCCGGCAGUCGCGAACGAGGUAGUAACACGUAGGUAACCUACCCCACACUCGGGAAUAACCAGCCGAAAGGUUGGCUAAUACCCGAUGGUCUCGUCAAACUUCGGUUUGGCGAGUAAAGCUCUGGCGGUGUGGGAGGGGCCUGCGGGCUAUCAGCUAGUUGGUAGGGUAAUGGCCUACCAAGGCGAUGACGGCUAGGGGAGGUGAGAGCCUGACCCCCACCGAGGGCACUGAGACACGGGCCCUACUCCUACGGGAGGCAGCAGCCGAGAAUAUUCCGCAAUGGGCGAAAGCCUGACGGAGCGACGCCGCGUGGUGGAUGAAGCCCUUCGGGGUGUAAACACCUUUUCUGAGGGAAGAAGUCAUUGACGGUACCUCAGGAAUAAGGGGCUCCUAAACCCGUGCCAGCAGGAGCGGUCAGACGGGUGCCCCAAGCGUUACCCGGAAUCACUGGGCGUAAAGGGUGCGUAGGCGGUUGCGUGAGUCUGAGGUGAAAGCCCGCGGCUUAACCGUGGAGACGCCUUGGAAACGGCGCAACUUGAGGAUGCGAGAGGUGUACGGAACUCACGGUGGAGGGGUGAAAUCCGUUGAUAUCGUGGGGAACACCAAAAGCGAAGGCAGUACACUGGCGCAUUCCUGACGCUGAGGCACGAAAGCGUGGGGAUAGAACGGGAUUAGAUACCCCGGUAUUCCACGCCCUAAACGAUCCGGACUAGCUUCUCGGAGUAUCGACCCUCUGGGUGGCGAAGCCAACGCGUUAAGUCCGGCGCCUGGGAAGUACGAGCGCAAGCUUAAAACUCAAAGGAAUAGACGGGGACUCGCACAAGCGGUGGAUCAUGAGGCUUAAUUCGUCGGUAAGCGAAGAACCUUACCUGGGCUUGACACCCUGACGAAAGCCCUUGGAAACAAGGGCCCUCCGCAAGGACGGCAGGGCAGGUGGUGCAUGGCCGUCGUCAGCUCGUGGCUUGAGCUGUUCCCUUAAGUGGGGCAACGAGCGCAACCCUCGCUGUGUGUUACAAGUGUCACACGGGACUGCCCGUUAUGGGAGGAAGGAGAGGAUGACGCCAGGUCCGUAUUCCCCUUUGACGCCCAGGGCUGCACUCAUGAUACAAUGGUUGCUACAACGGGAUGCAAAGCCGCGAGGCGGAGCAAAUCCUUCAAAAGCAGCCCCAGUUCGGAUUGCAGGCUGCAACUCGCCUGCAUGAAGGCGGAAUCGCUAGUAAUCGCAGAUCAGCCACGCUGCGGUGAAUACGUUCCCGAGUCUUGUACUCACCGCCCGUCACGUCAAGGAAGCUGGGAGCGCCCGAAGUCCUGCUUCGAGCGGGCCUACGGCGAGCUCAGUGACAGGGACGAAGUCGUAACAAGGCACGGCUAGGGGAACCUGG
rnacentral:rRNA from 1 species